rnacentral:rRNA from 1 species
AUUGAGCGCUGGCGGUAUGCUUAACACAUGCAAGUCGAACGGUAACAGGCCUUCGGGCGCUGACGAGUGGCGGACGGGUGAGUAACGCGUAGGAAUCUGCCUCAUAGUGGGGGACAACGUGGGGAAACUCACGCUAAUACCGCAUACGCCCUACGGGGAAAGCGGGGGAUCUUCGGACCUCGCGCUAUGAGAUGAGCCUGCGUUAGAUUAGCUAGUUGGUAGGGUAAAGGCCUACCAAGGCGACGAUCUAUAGCUGGUCUGAGAGGACGAUCAGCCACACUGGGACUGAGACACGGCCCAGACUCCUACGGGAGGCAGUAGUGGGGAAUAUUGGACAAUGGGCGCAAGCCUGAUCCAGCAAUACCGCGUGUGUGAAGAAGGCCUUAGGGUUGUAAAGCACUUUCAAUUGGGAGGAAAACCUGCCGGUCAAUACCCGGUAGCUUGACAUUACCUUUAGAAGAAGCACCGGCUAACUCCGUGCCAGCAGCCGCGGUAAU